UCGGAUUUCUCCAGUGUUGCCAAAUAAAAAGGAAAAAAAAAAGAGACAAGGUGACAAUGUUAGUACCAAAACCAGCUUCACUUAACAGCAAGUAAUAAGAAGUGAUAACCAAAUACAGCACCAUGAAGAUGGAAAUUAUAAAUUAUAACAGCUAAAUGUAGUUGAGAUGAAAAAGAGUUCCCAAACAAAAAAAGAUCUCAUAAUACUUCAGAAAGUCAGUCAAGUUCGUCAUUGAUCAACUAAUAGUUUUAUCUGAAUUUUCCAAGNNNNNNNNNNNNNNNNNNNNNNNNNNNNNNNNNNNNNNNNNNNNNNNNNNNNNNNNNNNNNNNNNNNNNNNNNNNNNNNNNNNNNNNNNNNNNNNNNNNNNNNNNNNNNNAGACUGGUGAGGCAGUGUCUCCUUCACUGGAGCUACACUAGCACAAUAACCUCUAAAUAGAAAUAUUUGAGAGCAAUACGAAAAGGUUCUCAGUCGAUUUACAGAGGGCAUCCAAUUUUUCUAAGAGGAGGUUCUACCUGCGGAAUACAUAGCCAAGAUAAAAACAAGUACUUACUCUGAAAAUAGUUGUAGAGAGGAGAGAAAAAUAUGCAUGAUAUAAAUCAAAAGGUUAGAAGUCCAACUGAAUGUUGAGUGAGGCAUUAGGUGUGUUUAUAUAGAGGGAGAAAAAUGAUGAGAUGGAUAUUUAACCAAUGCAUCUCAUCAUUUUAUCCCACUAUGGGAACACACCCUAUGCCCUAUUCACUAUACGCAAACUUCCAACCUUUUGAUUUAUAUAGAUUUUACCCCUCUCACUAUAUAAACACACCCUAUUCCUACCUUUUGAUAUAAAGUCUAUUGUGUGUAUGUGUAUAUAUUUAUGUAGACAACAUAGAGAGCAAAAAGUUCAAACAUUUCCGGUGUUUCAUGUUAGGGCACUAAAUAUGAGGUCACUGAGAUUCUCAAGGUUAAUGGAGAUGGCUGUAGAGACUUAAUUUACUAUAUAACCCUUACCGUCAAGAAUGAUGUGGAGGAAUAUUUUCAAGUUAAGGUGGUGGAACGUCUAUAUAAAUCUUUGAAGUUCCCAAUGUCAGGCCAAGGGUAAUAAGAUCUAUUGUACAUACCUUUUUUUUAAGUUUCCUAAAAAGAAUGACCUACUUUUUUUAAUACGUUUAAAAAAAUAAUUCCUCUUGUUUUUUGACAACACUUUAAUUUCAAUUUUUCACUUGACAUGCUUAAAAUCAUAAAAUUAAAUAAUAUUUUGAUAUAUUUGACAUAAAUUUAAUUUAAGACCAUAUAAAGUCGAUCUAAUCAUACCACAAAAUUGAUCUACCCACCACUAAAGAGACAUUGCAUAGCCAAUGAAACUAAAAAACAGGUCACACUCGGGAGCCACAUUUUGCAUUUAAUAUAUGUGCUUAUAAUUUCCAGCAUCCCAAUCCCUUUUAAAGGAAAAUCAACAUGUAGCUUAAACAUGACCAAUUAUAUAUUUACUUUGUGUUAUUUUUAUUUGUCACAUUUUGAUUUAACUUGCGUAGUAAAAAAAUAAUUAAUAUGAUUAUUUUAUUAAAUUUCUUAGCAUGUUUUAGAAAUAUUUUGUAGUGAUGAUAAAAACUAUUUAACCCACAAUUGCAACUAUAACAAAAUAGUUUCAUCAUCACUACAAAAUAGUUUCAUCAUCACUAUUAUCUAAAAUAUAAUAUUGUCAUUUAAAUAUUCGACAACAGAAAAAAUUCAUCAACACACAACCAUGAAUAGAACAUAUCACAAUCACAGCUCUAACAAAACAGAUCAAUCCAGCAGCAAAAAAAUUCACUACUUCCCUCACGAAGGAAUGAGACUCACCUGAUUUUUGCAAAUCCCUUAUAGCACAGGUUGUUAAAAUAGGAGAGACAUAAAUAGUACGCGUGACAGGUUGUUGUUUGAUGCAUUCUACUAUAGUCUUUUUACUCACCCUGGCCAUGUUAAAUUUCUGUAAUCAGCUAUCUUGAGUAUUCCCUGUAUAAAAAAACAAACGAUAAAGAUAAAAACUUUUACUGAAAAAUACAAAGAAUUACAGUUACACACCGUGUCACGUGUCAUUUUGCAUUUAAUCCUUGCCCUAAUAAAGCGAUAAUCUAAAAACUACAACUUAUCAUCCGCAUCCUCAUUCUCAGCCUCACCCAUUCUAUUAUCAAUAUUUCGUUGAUAUAUCUAGCUAUAAUCAGGUUCCAUCUAUACAAUUAAUCACAUUCAAGUAAUUAGUUCAAGUCACAAAAGUUCACAUUUCAAGUACCUACACUUAAAUAUUUUUAAGUCACUAAUUCACUUCUCAAGUGACCACACUUUACUAAAAUGAAAACGCUUCCUCCUUACAUCAACCUUGUUGCUUAGUAAAUCAAUAUGUCAUUGUACGGCUAAAAGGGAAACUCAUUUUUCUCCAAUUUUUUUAGAAGUUUCAGUGCAGUCAAUCAGUUGUUGUCCAUGUUUGAACAGCAACUGAGGGGUAGUAUUCAAUCAUGCAGUCAAACAGUUGUUGUCCAGGUUUGAAUAGAAACUAAUUGACUGUAUGUUUGAACACUACCCAAUGAUUGAAACUACUAAAAGAAUAGAAAAAAAAUGAGUGUUUCCCCUUUUAGCUAUACGAUGGCAUAUCGAUUUACUAAGUAACAAGGCUUAUGUAAGGAAAAAGAUUAUCGCUUCAUUAAGGCAAAGAGUAAAUGCAAAACGCCAUGUGACACAGUGUGUAAGUGUAAUUCUUUAUACUGUUUAGUAAAAGUCUUAUCGUUACCGUUUGUUUUUUAUGCAGGAAAUACUCAAGAUAGCUGAUUACAGAAAAUUUAACAUGGCUAGGGUGAGUAAAAGGACAUAGAAGAAUGUAUCAAACAACCUAUCACGUGUACUAUUUAUGUACACCCCAGUUUUAACAGCCACAUUGGAGAGGUUCUCAUUUAUAUUUUUCAAUUAAUGUUGUCUUCUAAUUUUCUUGCUAGUUUCUUAAAUAUAGAGAGUUUAAGAUGGGGCUAUAAGGGGUUUGCAAGAAUCAAGCAUAGUUUGCUUUUUAAUUUAGGAUAUAUCAUUAGAGAAGUAGUGAAUUUUUUUUACUGCCAGAUUGAUCUGUUUUGUUAGAGUUGUGAUUAUGAUGUGUUCUGAUUGUGUGAAUUUUUUUUGUUGUCGGAUACUAAAAUGACACAACUAUAAUUUAGAUAGUAGUGAUUAUCAAACUAUUUUGUAAUAAUGAUGGAACUAUUUUGUAACAGUUAUAAUUGUGAGUCAAAUAGUUCUUCUUAUCAUUACAAAAUAUGCCUAAAACAUUCUAAAUAAUAUUUAAUGUGAUUAUUUUAUUAAAUUUCUUAGUAUGUUUUAGAAAUAUUUUGUAGUGAUGCUAAGAACUAUUUGACCCAUAAUUGCAAUUGUAGCAAAAUAGCUCCAUCAUCACUACAAAAUAGUUUCAUCAUCACUACUACUAAAAUAUAAUUGUGUCAUUUAAGUAUCCGGCAACAAAAAAAUUCACCAACACACAACCAAUGAGUAGAACACAUCACAGUCACAGCUCUAACAAAACAGAUCAAUCAGGAAGAAAAAAAAUUCACUUCAUGAAGGAAUGAAGGCUCAUCAAUUUAUCACACAAUAUACUAAAUUAUAAAGCUAACUACGCUUGAUUUUUGCAAAUCCCUUAUAGCCCUAGGUUGUUAAAACUAGAUAGACAUAAAUAGUACACGUGACAGGUUGUUGUUUGAUAUGUUCUUCUAUAGUCUUUUUACUCACACUGUCAUGUUAAAUUUUCUGUAAUUAGCUAUUUUAAUAUUCUCUACAUAAAAAAAACAAACAUUAAAGAUAAAAGACUUUUACUGAACAACACAAAGAAUUAUAGUUACACACCACAUCACAUGGCGUCCUAAUGAAGCGAUAAUCUUCGUCCUUACAUAAACCCUGUUGCUUAGUGAAUCGAUAUGUCAUUAUACGACUAAAAGGGAAACACUCAUUUUUCUACAAUUUUUUGGCAGUUUCAGUACAGUCAAUCAGUUGUUGUCCAUGUUUUAACAGCAACUGAUUGGUAGUAUUCAAUCUUGUAGUCAAACAGUUAUUGUCCAGGUUUGAACAACAACUGAUUGACUGUAUGUUUGAACACUAUUCAAUGACUGAAACUACUAAAAAAAUUGAAGAAAAAAGAAGUUUUUCCCUUUUAGCUGUAUGAUGGCAUAUCGAUUUGCUAAGCAACAAGGCUUAUGUAAGAAAGAAGAUUAUCGUUUCAUUAAGACAGGCUUAUGUAAGAAAGAAGAUUAUUGCUUCAUUAAGACAAGGAGUAAAUAUUGCUUCAUUAAGACAAGGAGUAAAUACAAAACGCCACAUGACGCGGUGUGUAAUUGUAAUUCUUUGAAUUGUUCAGUAAAAGUCUUAUCUCUAUAAUUUGUUUUUUAUGCAGGAAAUACUCAAGAUAGCUAAUUACAAAAAAUUUAACAUGGUCAGAGUGAGUAAAAAGACGAUAGAAAAAUGUAUCAAACAACAACCUGUCAUGUGUACUAUUUAUGUCUAUCUCAGUUUUAACAACCACACUAGAGAGGUUUUCAUUUAUCUUUUUAAAUUAAUGUUCACUUGUAGUCUAAAAUAGUGUUUCUACUUCUCCGGAGGUAGUGAUAUGGACGGCAUACAUUUUACGCUCCCCAGACCCCACUGCAUAUUAAUGUUCACUUCCACUGCAUAUUAAUGUUCACUUCUAGUUUAUGGAUGAAACAACUUUUCUACUUCUUCAGAGGUAGUGGUAUGAACUGCGUACAUUUUAUGCUCCCCAGACCCCACUGCAUGGGAAUACACUGUGUUUGUUGUUGUUGUUCUAGUCUGUGAAUGCUUUCUAAUUUUCUUUUUCUUGCUUGUUUCUUAAAUAUAGAGAGUUUAAGAUAGGGCUAUAAGGGAUUUACAAGAAUUAAGCAUAGUUUGCUUUUUAAUUUAGGACAUCAUGUGAUAGAUCAGUACUUCAUGAGAGUAGUGAAUUUUUUUAUUUUUUUUGCUGCCGAAUUGAUCUGUUUUGUUAGAGUUGUAAAUAUGAUGUGUUCUGGUUGUGUGAAUUUUUUUGUUGUCGGAUACUAAGAUAACACAAUUAUAUUUAAAAAUGAUCAAACUAUUUUGUAGCAAUGAUGGAACUAUUUUGUGACAAUUGCAAUUGUGGGUCAAAUAGUUCUUAUCAUCACUACAAAAUAUUUUUAAAACAUUCUAAAAAAUAAUUAUAUGAUUAUUUUUAUUAAACAUUCCAAACUCGGAUAAUCUUUAAUGUCAAAUCCCUAUCAAAGUAAAAGUCGACCAAAUAGAGACAAACAGUUUUUCACAUUUCGUUUAUUUUCAUUAGCAUAUCCACAUAUGAUAUUCAAUCUUUCCCACGAUUCUGACAUAAGUGAGUAUAUCAAAACUAGCGAAUUCCGAUCCCCUCCCUCCCCUCCCCCCCUUUUUAGAAAGUAAAAUUAACUCCUUUUUUUUUAUUAACAUGCUCUAUACUAAAAAAAGACUCAAAAGUCACUUCCUACCGAAUUGCACCACUUUGUAGAGUUGAGUAAUCAAACUUAAUGUUUGGCAUCCACAUGGUGUUAUUUAAUGGUGGUGGUUACUGUUUGACUGCCAUAUGAUGCCUUUAAAAGGAACAAGGAGAAGUAAUGCUAGGAAAGAUCAGCAAGUCAUUUUAUUUUGUCUUUUCUGUAAAAUUUAGGAUAUCCAUUAAUGUUUUUCCUCACUAUCUUUUCCUAAAACCCCUGUUGAGUUGCCUUCCAGCAACCAAGUUUCAUUCGAUAUCCAGCUAAGACAUAACUGAUUAUAGAGUUAGCCAAUUGAAUAGGAUUAUAUUUAAAACCAAUGCAGAGGUUAUAACGAAUUGAAACAUGGAAUGUCAUUAGAAAUUUCAAUUCCCAAAAAUUCUUCCUUCUUUUUGCUAGUUUCAACAACAGCAACAAACAUAGUGUAAUCCCACAGGAUGGUUCUGGGGAAGGUCGAAGAUAAGAAGUUUUGUUUUGGAAAGACACUCGGUUGAUAAAUAAGUGAAAAAAAGGCAAUAGCAUCAAACAAAAACAACAGCAAGGCAAAACAACUAACUGGUACAUGUAUUAAUCUAAUAGUCUCCAUUUCAUUAGACCAAAACUCAAUAUUAUAAUCUCCCCCUAAGUCUUUCCAGAUCUAUAAAUCAUACUGAUGUGCCAAGUCGUGUGAACAACUUAUGGAUACAACACAUUAGAAAAUAUGCGGAGCCACGUGUACUUAAAGGGUAUCGACCGACAUCCCUUUUUCAAAAAAUUACAUUGCACAGCUAGGCAAAAAUUUUACAUGUAUAUACUACAUAUUGACACCCCUCGAUUCGGGCUUAAGCCAACUCGACCAAGGGGGAGCUUAACUCGAUUUCAAUAAUAGCAGCAUAACCUCCGACUAAUGUAUAUAGACCAAGGACUUUACUUCUUCGUAAAUUUACUUCUUUAUACCGUGACAUCCCUUGGUUAAAGUUCUUGCUCCGCCAAUUAGGACCCAACCAUAAGAAAAUUCAUGUUAUAUUACCUAUUUGACGGAAAGCAAUCUAUAUAAAAGAUGAACUUGAAAGAGAAAAAGGCAUCUAUAGAGCGAAAGGUGAAAAACACAUCUAAAGUAUUCCAAUUUUUGAAUUUCAUACCUAAACUAUCACUAAUUAGUUAGUAAAACACGCAUCAACUGCUAGGCAUGUAACUGAAAAUAUCAGGAUAGUAAAGGUGUGUUUUGGACCGUUAACAGAAAACUAUCUAUAUAAUAAAAGAUUUGAACUUGAUGGAGGAAAAGCAAUCUAUAUUCAAAUAUGCAAACGGUUUUAGUAGGCACAUAGAUGAUAAAAGCAAGUAAGUACCUCGCUCUCCUCGAUCUGACCCACAUAC
rnacentral:lncRNA from 1 species